rnacentral:rRNA from 1 species
GUUGAACGCUGGCGGCAGGCCUAACACAUGCAAGUCGAGCGGAUGAAGGGAGCUUGCUCCUGGCUUCAGCGGCGGACGGGUGAGUAAUGCCUAGGAAUCUGCCUGGUAGUGGGGGAUAACGUCCGGAAACGGGCGCUAAUACCGCAUACGUCCUGAGGGAGAAAGUGGGGGAUCUUCGGACCUCACGCUAUCAGCUGAGCCUAGGUCGGAUUAGCUAGUUGGUGGGGUAAAGGCCUACCAAGGCGACGAUCCGUAACUGAUCUGAGAGGAUGAUCAGUCACACUAGAACUGAGACACGGUCCAGACUCCUACGGGAGGCAGCAGUGGGGAAUGUCGGACAAUGGGCGAAAGCCUGAUCCAGCCAGGCCGCGUGUGUGAAGAAGGUCUUCGGAUUGUAAAGCACUUUAAGUGGGGAGGAAGAGCAGUAAGUUGAUACCUUGCUGUCUUGACGUUACCUACAGAAGAAGCACCGGCUAACUACGUG